rnacentral:lncRNA from 1 species
AAUUUUCGGAGAAGAUUAUGGAAUGGAUAAGCUUGGGCGAGGCCAUAUUUAUUUGAUGCCUUACUCUUCAAGAUAAUAUAAUUGUGUAUUUGUGUGUUGCUUAAUUCUAAAAGUCCAAGGGAAUUCUGGGUUUCUAUUGACAUACUUGUCUAUGGGAUUGCUACCCAUUUGGUCAGAUCUUUUCAACUCUAAACUUUUAAAUUUUGUGCAUAGGGUAGUCUCUU